rnacentral:rRNA from 1 species
AUGAUACGCGACGGAACUUACCUGGGCUCGAACGUAAGAUGACUGUAGGUGAAAGCUUACAUCUCUUCGGAGCAUUUACGAGGUGCUGCAUGGUUGUCGUCAGCUCGUGCCGUGAGGUGUCGGGUUAAGUCCCAUAACGAGCGCAACCCCUACCUUUAGUUGCCAUCAGGUAAUGCUGGGGACUCUAAAGGAACUGCCUACGCAAGUAGUGAGGAAGCGGGGAUGACGUCAAAUCAGCACGGCCCUUACGUCCAGGGCUACACACGUGCUACAAUGGCCGAUACAGAGGGCAGCUACCUGGUGACAGGAUGCAAAUCUCCAAAGUCGGUCUCAGUUCGGAUCGGAGUCUGCAACCCGACUCCGUGAAGUUGGAUUCGCUAGUAAUCGCGCAUCAGCCAUGGCGCGGUGAAUACGUUCCCGGGCCUU